GGAGAGGGUUGUAGAGUGGAGAAUGGGGAUAGUCACGGUAGAUCAGCUGGAGGUUAGGUUUUGCAAGCGAGCUGAAGAAGAGGAAACGAAGAAGGUGAUGAUAGCUAAGAGAAAACAGUAGAAGAUGGAAGUUUGGGUUACCAUUUUGAUGAUUUUUAGGAAGAUUUGUGGGGGAAGUGAGUGAAAGUUUGCAUGGGUUUAUAAACAGCACAAAAAGGUAUACAAUAAAUAUUGAAACAGAGUUGAGAAGGUGAUGAACAGAGCUUUAGUUUUCAUUAAGAUUUUCCUAAGUUAUUAAGAAGUUUAAUGUCGGUGUGGGGAUGUUUAACGGCUGAUAACCAAAAUUUUAGAACUUUGACUCUGAACUUGAUUCUCAACAUCUCGACUGUGUAUAUCUUGAGUUUGAUUUGGCAAAGAUGUGAUUUUUAUGUCUUGCUUCAUCAGUCUAUUUUUUUGAUGGUUGCUGCAAAGCAUAUUCCAGUGCUGUGUUUUAGUUCC
rnacentral:lncRNA from 1 species